rnacentral:lncRNA from 1 species
AACAUUUUUUAGAUAAUUCCCUCAUUUACAAAUAGAAAAUGCAUAGGUUAAAUGAUGGAAACUUGUGGAAAUAAUUAGAAUACAAAAGUGGGGUCGAAUUUUAUCGUAUCACAAUUUCAGUCACUGGAAUUGCCACACACCACCAUACACGUGUCCUUGGUUCACCACACGCUGCCAUUAAAGCAUCGCAUGCCACCUCACACUUGGCUGUUAGAACCAGCACAUGCCAACAAAACC